GACGAACGCUGGCGGCGUGCUUAACACAUGCAAGUCGAACGGAAAGGCCCUGCUUGCAGGGUACUCGAGUGGCGCACGGGUGUGUAUAACGUGUGUGUACUGCCCUGCCCUUCGGGAUAAGCCUGGGGAACUGGGUUUAUUACAGGAUAGGUGCCCUUUUCUUCGUGUUGGUUGGAGUGUUUUUUUCGGUGUGGGAUGAGGUCGCGGGCUCUCCGCAUGUUGGUGGUGUAAUGGCCUACCACGGCGGCGGCGGGUACGCGUGACGGGAGGGUGGACGGCCACAUUGGGGCUGAGAGACGGCCCAGACGCCGACGGGGGGCAGCAGGGGGGAAGAGUGCAAAAUGGGUGCAAGCAUGAUGCAGCGACGCCGCGUGGGGGAUGACGGCCUUCGUGUUGUAAACACCGUUCGCUAGGGACGAAGCUUUUUGUGACGGUACCUAGAUAAGAAGCACCGGCUAACUACGUG
rnacentral:rRNA from 1 species